AGCCCACGGCUCAACCCGUGGAGGGUCAUUGGAAACUGGGAGACUUGAGUGCAGGAGAGAAAAGUGGAAUUCCACGUGUAGCGGUGAAAUGCGUAGAGAUGUGGAGGAACACCAGUGGCGAAGGCGGCUUUUUGGCCUGUAACUGACGCUGAGGCGCGAAAGCGUGGGGAGCAAACAGGAUUAGAUACCCUGGUAGUCCACGCCGUAAACGAUGAGUGCUAGGUGUUGGGGGGUUCCACCCUCAGUGCUGAAGUUAACACAUUAAGCACUCCGCCUGGGGAGUACGACCGCAAGGUUGAAACUCAAAGGAAUUGACGGGGGCCCGCACAAGCAGUGGAGCAUGUGGUUUAAUUCGAAGCAACGCGAAGAACCUUACCAGGUCUUGACAUCCUUUGACCACUCUAGAGAUAGAGCUUUCCCCUUCGGGGGACAAAGUGACAGGUGGUGCAUGGUUGUCGUCAGCUCGUGUCGUGAGAUGUUGGGUUAAGUCCCGCAACGAGCGCAACCCUUGACCUUAGUUGCCAGCAUUCAGUUGGGCACUCUAAGGUGACUGCCGGUGACAAACCGGAGGAAGGUGGGGAUGACGUCAAAUCAUCAUGCCCCUUAUGACCUGGGCUACACACGUGCUACAAUGGAUGAUACAAAGGGUUGCGAAGCCGCGAGGCCAAGCCAAUCCCAAAAAGUCAUUCUCAGUUCGGAUUGUAGGCUGCAACUCGCCUACAUGAAGCCGGAAUUGCUAGUAAUCGCGGAUCAGCAUGCCGCGGUGAAUACGUUCCCGGGCCUUGUACACACCGCCCGUCACACCACGAGAGUUUGUAACACCCGAAGUCGGUGGGGU
rnacentral:rRNA from 1 species